AGCGUUAUAUUACGGAGAUCAUAAAGAGGCGGUUCGCGUACCGGCCCGGCUUACGUGUGUCGGCAGAGAGGCCGACCAGGAAAACCCACAGGUGACACGCGAUAGCUGACGUCACCGCCCGCUCUCUGUGCAAUGGGGAAUCGCUCUUUCCUGGACGGUGUCUCGGACGAGACGUCGAGGAUGGUUGGCGAGGAAUCUCAGAUCCACAUGAGAUCUAACGCUAGCAGUCGUCGGGUCAUCGUUUCGACCGCCUUGUCCGCUCUUCUCCUUACUGCGGCCGGGAACGCGGCCAGGUUCGUUUCGAAGGAUCGCUAGCUUCAUUCCUUCUUCCGAUAUUAAUCCCAGGUGGCGCUUGGAUGACGACCGAAACCGCAAGGCGCCACGUACUAUAUUCCUCUGCCUCUCCGUCUCCGACUCCUGUUCUCUUGCCCACCUCUUUCCCUUCUCUCCGUCACCGCCUCUUCGUUUCUCGGGGCGAGAUGGCCCGAUUCGGUGGAUGGAUUCGGUUCUUGAUGUUGUUCCUUCGAGUUCUCAUGGAGAGGCCCGUCCCGAAUGAGAUCCAGCUCGUCUUCUGAUCUCAGGUGGAAGACGAUGAUGUUGAGGGGAAGACGCUGAUGCUCCGAAAGAAGCAAGCUUGAAACUGAAGUUGACUCACGGUUGCGGCCAUCAAAGCAAGCAGAGAGAUCCGACAUGUCAUUCUUCUUUUUAGAUGUACAAACUGAAGCCACAAACAGGGAAACUAUCCAUGUGGUUAAUUCAAUAUGCUAGGUUUUUCUUUUUCCUUCUUUUUGGAAGAUGCCUAUCCUCCUGGAAUCCUUUCUACCUCGAGCUCUGUUGAGCAGGACUCUAAAGUUCUGGCUUGAUCUAUAGCUUGUUUAGGAGGAGCAGAUUGAGCCAACCAUCUACCCUUAUUUUCUGCAAGCUAGUUGAUAGAUUAUGCCGUGUAUCAGUUAUAUUCUUCCAAGCAUUCAUGUUUUUGAGUAAGCAAUAUAGUCCUUUUUCUUCUUUUUCUCUUCAA